rnacentral:rRNA from 2 species
ACGGGUGAGUAACGCGUGGGAACGUACCUUUUGGUUCGGAACAACUGAGGGAAACUUCAGCUAAUACCGGAUAAGCCCUUACGGGGAAAGAUUUAUCGCCGAAAGAUCGGCCCGCGUCUGAUUAGCUAGUUGGUGAGGUAACGGCUCACCAAGGCGACGAUCAGUAGCUGGUCUGAGAGGAUGAUCAGCCACAUUGGGACUGAGACACGGCCCAAACUCCUACGGGAGGCAGCAGUGGGGAAUAUUGGACAAUGGGCGCAAGCCUGAUCCAGCCAUGCCGCGUGAGUGAUGAAGGCCCUAGGGUUGUAAAGCUCUUUUGUGCGGGAAGAUAAUGACGGUACCGCAAGAAUAAGCCCCGGCUAACUUCGUGCCAGCAGCCGCGGUAAUACGAAGGGGGCUAGCGUUGCUCGGAAUCACUGGGCGUAAAGGGUGCGUAGGCGGGUCUUUAAGUCAGGGGUGAAAUCCUGGAGCUCAACUCCAGAACUGCCUUUGAUACUGAGGAUCUUGAGUUCGGGAGAGGUGAGUGGAACUGCGAGUGUAGAGGUGAAAUUCGUAGA